UACGUAGGUGGCAAGCGUUGUCCGGAUUUAUUGGGUUUAAAGGGUGCGUAGGCGGUCCUAUGAGUCAGUGCUGAAAUAUCCCGGCUUAACCGGGAGGGUGGCAUUGAUACUGCAGGACUUGAGUAAAGUUGAGGUAGGCGGAAUUGACGGUGUAGCGGUGAAAUGCUUAGAUAUCGUCAAGAACACCGAUAGUGAAGACAGCUUACUAAACUUUAACUGACGCUGAGGCACGAAAGUGUGGGGAUCAAACAGG
rnacentral:rRNA from 1 species